rnacentral:rRNA from 1 species
CCUACGGGAGGCAGCAGUAGGGAAUAUUGCUCAAUGGGGGAAACCCUGAAGCAGCAACGCCGCGUGGAGGAUGAAGGUCUUCGGAUUGUAAACUCCUUUUGUUAGAGAAGAUAAUGACGGUAUCUAACGAAUAAGCACCGGCUAACUCCGUGCAAGCAGCCGCGGUAAUACGGAGGGUGCAAGCGUUACUCGGAAUCACUGGGCGUAAAGAGCGCGUAGGCGGGAUAGCAAGUCAGAUGUGAAAUCCUAUGGCUUAACCAUAGAACUGCAUUUGAAACUGGUAUUCUAGAGUAUGGGAGAGGUAGGUGGAAUUCGUGGUGUAGGGGUAAAAUCCGUAGAGAUCAAGAAGAAUACUCAUUGCGAAGGCGACCUGCUAGAACAUAACUGACGCUGAUGCGCGAAAGCGUGGGGAGCGAACAGGAUUAGAUACCCUGGUAGUC